rnacentral:rRNA from 1 species
AGACAGAGGUGGCAAGCGUUGUUCGGAUUUACUGGGCGUAAAGAGCAUGUAGGCGGUUAGAUUAGUCAGUUGUGAAAUCCUAUGGCUUAACCAUAGAAUUGCAUCUGAUACUGUCUAGCUAGAGUGCAGGAGAGGAGAGUGGAAUUUCCAGUGUAGCGGUGAAAUGCGUAGAUAUUGGAAGGAACACCGGUGGCGAAGGCGGCUCUCUGGUCUGUAACUGACGCUGAGAUGCGAAAGCGUGGGUAGCAAACAGGAUUAGAAACCCUAGUAGUCC